UGUAACCGAUGCAACUGUCAAUGGAAACAACAAAUGUAGAAGGAAAAGAAGAGUCGGGUCCUGCCUGGGGAAACAGCAGAAAGAAGACAGGAGAGAAUUCUAAUGUGAGGACACUGGAAUAAGAGAGACACAAUGGAGCCAGGUCUCAGAGAAGCUAAGUGACAAGGAGAGCUCAAGGGGGGAACAUGAGUCUCUCUUGGAAAGGCUUCUAUGAGUUGACUGGUCUGUGCUUGAUGAUGAUGAUGAUGAUGAUGAUGAUGA